ACUUAAGCAUAUCAAUAAGCGGAGGAAAAGAAACUAACCAGGAUUCCCUUAGUAACUGCGAGUGAACUGGGAAGAGCUCAAAUUUGUAAUCUGGCGGUCUCUGGCCGUCCGAGUUGUAAUCUAGAGAAGUGCUUACCUGCACUGGACCAUGUACAAGUCUCCUGGAAUGGAGCGUCAUAGAGGGUGAGAAUCCCGUCUUUGACAUGGACUGCCAGGGCUCAACAGGUGCGCUCUCGAAGAGUCGAGUUGUUUGGGAAUGCAGCUCAAAAUGGGUGGUAAAUGCCAUCUAAAGCUAAAUAUUGGCGAGAGACCGAUAGCGAACAAGUACCGUGAGGGAAAGAUGAAAAGAACUUUGGAAAGAGAGUUAAACAGUACGUGAAAUUGCUGAAAGGGAAACGCUUGAAGUCAGUCGCAUCGUCUGGAAAUCAACCUUGCUCUUGCUGGGUGUACUUUCCGUCCGAUGGGUCAGCAUCAGUUUCGGCUGCUGGACAAGGCCUUUGGGAAUGUGGCAUCUCAGGAUGUGUUAUAGCCCUUUGGCAGAUGCAGUGGCUGGGACUGAGGAACUCGGCGCGCCGCGAGGCUGGGACGCUCGUCGUCCACACCAACGCGCCUAGGAUGCUGGCAUAAUGGCUUUAAUCGACCCGUCUUGAAACACGGACCAAGGAGUCUAACAUGCCUGCGAGUGUUUGGGUGGAAAACCCAUGCGCGCAAUGAAAGUGAAGGUUGAGAUCCCUGUCGUGGGGAGCAUCGACGCCCAGACCAGACCUUCUGUGACGGCUCUGCGGUAGAGCAUGCAUGUUGGGACCCGAAAGAUGGUGAACUAUGCCUGAAUAGGGUGAAGCCAGAGGAAACUCUGGUGGAGGCUCGUAGCGAUUCUGACGUGCAAAUCGAUCGUCAAAUUUGGGUAUAGGGGCGAAAGACUAAUCGAACCAUCUAGUAGCUGGUUCCUGCC
rnacentral:rRNA from 2 species